GACGAACGCUGGCGGCGUGCUUAACACAUGCAAGUCGAACGGAAAGGCCCUGCUUUUGUGGGGUGCUCGAGUGGCGAACGGGUGAGUAACACGGGAGUAACCUGCCCUUGACUUUGGGAUAACUUCAGGAAACUGGGGCUAAUACCGGAUAGGAGCUCCUGCUGCAUGGUGGGGGUUGGAAAGUUUCGGCGGGUGGGGAUGGACUCGCGGCUUAUCAGCUUGUUGGUGGGGGAGUGGCUUACCAAGGCUUUGAUGGGUAGCCGGCCUGGGAGGGUGACCGGCCACAUUGGGACUGGGAUACGGCCCAGCCUCCUACGGGAGGCGGCAGUGGGGAAUAUUGCACAAUGGGCGGAAGCCUGAUGCAGCAACGCCGCGUGCGGGAUGCCGGCCUUCGGGUUGUAAACCGCUUUGGCCUGUGACGAAGCGUGAGUGACGGUAAUGGGUAAAGAAGCACCGGCUAACUACGUG
rnacentral:rRNA from 1 species